CAGGUUUGAUCAUGGCUCAGGAUAAACGCUGGCGGCGCACAUAAGACAUGCAAGUCGAACGAACUUAACCAUUAGUUUACUAUUGGAGCGGUUAGUGGCGGACUGGUGAGUAACACGUAAGCAACCUGCCUAUCAGAGGGGAACAACAGUUAGAAAUGACUGCUAAUACCGCAUAUGCCUUAGAAUCACAUGGUUCGAAAGGGAAAGGAGCAAUCCGCUGAUAGAUGGGCUUGCGUCUGAUUAG
rnacentral:rRNA from 1 species